rnacentral:rRNA from 1 species
ACGAACGCUGGCGGCGUGCUUAACCCCUGCAAGUCGCACGGUGAAGCUCCAGCUUGCUGGAGUGGAUCAGUGGCGAACGGGUGAGUAACACGUGAGCAACCUGCCCCUGACUCUGGAAUAAGCGCUGGAAACGGCGUCUAAUACUGGAUACGAGAAGGGUCCGCAUGGGCACUUUCUGGAAAGUUUUUCGGUUGGGGAUGGGCUCGCGGCCUAUCAGCUUGUUGGUGAGGUAAUGGCUCACCAAGGCGACGACGGGUAGCCGGCCUGAGAGGGCGACCGGCCACACUGGGACUGAGACACGGCCCAGACUCCUACGGGAGGCAGCAGUGGGGAAUAUUGCACAAUGGGCGAAAGCCUGAUGCAGCGACGCCGCGUGAGGGAUGACGGCCCUCGGGUUGUAAACCUCUUUCAGCAGGGAAGAAGCGAAAGUGACGGUACCUGCAGAAGAAGCACCGGCUAACUACGUG